CCAGACUCCUACGGGAGGCAGCAGUGGGGAAUAUUGCACAAUGGGGAAACCCUGAUGCAGCGACGCCGCGUGAGCGAAGAAGUAUUUCGGUAUGUAAAGCUCUAUCAGCAGGGAAGAAAAUGACGGUACCUGACUAAGAAGCCCCGGCUAACUACGUGCCAGCAGCCGCGGUAAUACGUAGGGGGCAAGCGUUAUCCGGAUUUACUGGGUGUAAAGGGAGCGUAGACGGCAGCACAAGUCUGGAGUGAAAUGCCGGGGCUUAACCCCGGAACUGCUUUGGAAACUGUGCAGCUAGAGUGCAGGAGAGGUAAGUGGAAUUCCUAGUGUAGCGGUGAAAUGCGUAGAUAUUAGGAGGAACACCAGUGGCGAAGGCGGCUUACUGGACUGUAACUGACGUUGAGGCUCGAAAGCGUGGGGAGCAAACAGGAUUAGAUACCCUUGUA
rnacentral:rRNA from 1 species